UAUUCCCGAUUCAAGGGUAGGCAGCGCCCUCUUCAGCAUGCUUUUUCAGCUAAAGGUAAGAUAUUGUAAACAAAAAUAUUUUGAGUGUUAUUUGUGAAGAAAGAAAUAUGAUGGACAAAGAAAAUAGUGUAUUCCUCAGUUUAACUGAAUAUUUCCGGUAUUUGAAAGCAACUCCAAAUAAUAGGAAUGUGAUAGAAGGAGAAGCGGUCUUGAAUGCAUGUAAUUAUGUGUGGGAAUAUAGGUAAAAGUAUUAGUAUUAUGCUUAGAAUUGUUCGGCUUAUGCUUGCAGACUUCAGCCCUUUCAGCAGAUCCUCAUGAAAUCAGAGGAAAAAUAAUAACAACUAAAGAAACUGCAACAAUAUCAGCUUUCAGCUGUUCUUGUAAGGCUGGAUUAGGAGGCAGAUGUAAACAUAUAUCAGCUCUACUCUUACAUUUUACCAGGUUGUAUAAUUUUUAUUUAUUUUAUGUCUGAAUCAGGACUUCCAAUUGAACAAUAAUAUAGACACAAUAUAAUUGUUGGUUUUUUGCUUUUCCUUUGGUUUUUAUCAUUUCAGAACUGACCUCCUCAAAUUGGAAAAUAUUUCAAGCACUGAUAUCAAAUGCUGGUGGAAAAACGAAAAAAAAAGAGACUGGAAAUAAAUAUAAAGCACUACCUCUUCUAAAAAUACCCUGCCUUAAGGACAAAGUCCCAAAAAAACCCUUGAUAACAUCUCAAGAUGAAGAAGAGAAGAUAUUAGAAAUAUUUUAAUUGCCAGAUUGCCUUCAUCGAGCAUUGCAAUUCAUAAGACUAGGUUAUGUAAGGUUCCGAAUGUGGAAGGAUCUUGCAUGAAAAUAUAUGGAACCAUUAUCAGAAAUGCAGAAAAUUCCAUUUUCAUGCAGAAUUUUUACAAUUUUGGGUCUGAAAUUAAUUUUAGAUGCACUCAAUGUAUCAGAAAAUACAAUAAGUUAACUAUGUUUGACAGUAUUGAUAUAUGUGUAUCGACAAUGCAAGAUAGAGGUCAAUGGGAAGAAGAAAGGAAGUAUAGAGUUACUGGCUCACGAUGCUACGACUUAUAUACUUUUUCGAAAAAUGAUUGGGAAGAGAAAUGUAGUAAAUAUUUUUUUCCCAAGCAUUUUUCGAAUAUCUAUACAGAACAUAGCAUUAAAUGCGAGCCAAUGGCCCGAAAAGGUUUCAGGGUUUUCUAUACAAAAAAAUAGGUCUUGUGAUAUGUAGAAGUGAACCAUGGCUGGCAUAUUCUGCUGACGGAAUUUUGUUAAAGAAUGGCAAGCCCUAUGGUCUUUUAGAAAUAAAGUGUCCAUUCAAAGCAAAGCAAGCCUCUGACUUGGGGAAUUGUAAAUAUAUUAUAAAAGAGAAUAAUAAUUAUGAACUGAAAAAAAAACAUAAAUACUUUGCAUAGGUGCAGGUGGGAAUUGCAAUCCUAAAUUUAGACAUUUGCCACUUUAUUAUUUAUUUUUCAAGCAAUAAUUCAUUCAUUGAAAUUAAGGUGCCCUUUGAUGAAGAAUACACAUAUAAUAUGUUAACUUCUUUGAAAAAAAACUAUAUUGAGAAAAUGUUACACCAUAUUUGUAAUGAAUAAUUGAAAAAUUAAUAUAUUUUUUGAAAUAAAA